AUGGAAGCUGCAGCUCAGCUGCUCUGAUUCUUGUUACUCUGGCUCCCAGAUACCACCAGAGAACUUGUGAUGACAGUCUCCAGCCUCCCUGUCUUUAUCUCUAGGGGAAAAAGCCACCCUCACCUACAGAGCCAAGUAGACUAUUAGCAGCUCCUUAGCAGGGUAUCAGUGGAAACCUGGACAGGCUCUCAGGCUCCUCAUCCAUGGUGCAUCCACCAGGACCACCAAUGUCCCAGCCUGGUGGAGUGGCAGUGGGUUCGGGGAAAACUUCAGUCUCAUUAUCAGCAGGCUGGAGCAUGAAGAUUUUGCACUUUAACACUGUUAUCAGCAUAGUGGUGGGUAU